rnacentral:rRNA from 1 species
AUACGGAGGGUCCGAGCGUUAAUCGGAAUUACUGGGCGUAAAGCGCGCGUAGGUGGAUGUAUAAGUCAGAUGUGAAAGCCCUGGGCUCAACCUAGGAACUGCAUUUGAAACUGUACGUCUAGAGUAUGGUAGAGGUGAGUGGAAUUUCAGGUGUAGCGGUGAAAUGCGUAGAGAUCUGAAGGAACAUCAGUGGCGAAGGCGACUCACUGGGCCAUUACUGACACUGAGGUGCGAAAGCGUGGGUAGCAAACAGGAUUAGAAACCCUUGUAGUCC